rnacentral:lncRNA from 1 species
UUUCGCUUUCCAAUUCAGAGACUCCAAGCCGUCACAAAUUCCAAUCCCCAGAUUCCACUGCCAAAUUGAAAUUCAAUGUAAGAAACCGACCCGCUCCCAAUUCAAUCCCGUCUCCCGGCUCGAUGGCUUUCAAUUCCAAACUUUGAAGCAAAACCUAGCCAUUUGUAAAGAAAUUAUUCCUGUUAUAUGCUGCAAUUUUAUAUAUGGAAUUUGGGAUUCAAUAUUUCAAUUUCUUAUUCAUGUAAUUGUAACCAGUUUUUGUGUUUAGCUUCUUCAUUACAGUAUUUUCAUUCUUGAAAGCUAAGGUUCUUGUACUAGGAAAGGAAGAGAGGAGAGAGAAAUUAAAGGUUCUACUUACCUUCCCCUUACUUUAGUUCCCACACAUUUCUUUUUGUUUUUAAGAUUUUUGUUUAAGUUCUUAGAUGGUUAUGGAGUGGAAGGUCUAUAUGUUGAGAGUUUCUUACACAUGCCCAUUUCAAGAAAUUCAGUUUCAAAAUAAAAAAUAACCUUACUAGCAUUAUUUUGGUGAGAAAAGAAGGAAAAAUGGAAGCCCAUUUGUUCUUUGAGUUGUUCAAGAAAGCUGUUUCUAUUUGCACAGAUUUUCUUGGUUUUUCCAGUCCUCCAUCAUUGUCCGCCAGAGCGUUAAGGUUAGUAGCGUUUUGAUAAAAAUGAUAAAAAUGGAGUAAUAAAAAACCCUUCCACUUUCCAAUUCAAAGACUCCAAACCAUCCCAAAUUCCAAUCCCUAGAUUCCACUACCAAAUUGAAAUUCAAUGCAAAAAACCAUCCUACUCCCAAUUCAAUCCAGUCUCUCAGCUCGGUAGCUCCCAAUUCCAAACUUUGAAGCAAAACCCAUCCAUUUAAUCCACCCAUGCUGACCACUCGAAUUCCUUCAUCGGCGAUUCUACCACCACAAAUGGCUAAAGACAACAAUACAAUCAGAAUUGUAAGGAGAUUAUUCCUCUUAUGUGCUGCAAUUUUAUAUAUGGAAUUUGGGAUUCAAUAUUUCAAUUUCUUAAUCAUGUAAUUGUAACCCUUUUUUCUGUGAAACUUCUUCAUUACAAUAUUCUCAUUCUUCAAAGCUAAGGUUUUUGUACUAGGAAAGAAAGAGAUGAGAGAGAAAUUAUGGUUCUACUUACUUUCCCAUUACUUUAGUUCCCAUACAUUUCUCCUUGUUUUUAAGAUUUUGGUUUAUGUUCUUAGGUGGUUAUGGAGGGGAAGGUCUAUAUGUUGAGAUUUUCUUACACAUGCCCAUUUCAAGAAAUUCUGUUUCCAAAACAAAAAAUUACUUACAAGCAUUAUUUUGGUGAAAAAAGAAUUAAAUGGGAAGCCCAUUUAUUCUUUGAGUUGUUCAAGAAAUCUGUUUCUGCUUGCACAGAUUUUCUUGGCUUUUCGGGUCCUCCAUCGUCGUCCACCAGAGCGUUAAGGUUAGUAUAACGUUUGGAUUUUAAUUCCCGUCCAGUGGCUCCGGUUAAUUUAUGAUUUUAGCUUUGUGAUUUGUGAAUAUGUGAUUUGUAAAUUGUAAAUUUGUUGAUGGAUAAUUAAUUUGUGAUUUGUGUUUUUGAAUUGUGAUUCGUGAGAUUUAGUUGGGGACUGCAUCAACAAUUCAAAAUAGAUGCGAAAUUAUUAAUGAGAUUGUAAUUUAUGAGACCG